rnacentral:rRNA from 1 species
UACGUAGGGGGCAAGCGUUGUUCGGAAUUACUGGGCGUAAAGAGCUCGUAGGCGGUGUGUCGCGUCGGCCGUGAAAACUUGGGGCUUAACUCUGAGCGUGCGGUCGAUACGGGCAUCACUUGAGUUCGGCAGGGGAGACUGGAAUUCCUGGUGUAGCGGUGAAAUGCGCAGAUAUCAGGAGGAACACCAAUGGCGAAGGCAGCUCGCUGGGACGGUACUGACGCU